GCGGCGUGCUUAACACAUGCAAGUCGAACGGAAAGGCCUCUUCGGAGGUACUCGAGUGGCGAACGGGUGAGUAACACGUGGGUAAUCUGCCCUGCACUUCGGGAUAAGCCUGGGAAACUGGGUCUAAUACUGAAUAUGACCACGAGGCGCAUGUCUUGUGGUGGAAAGCUUUUGCGGUGUGGGAUGGGCCCGCGGCCUAUCAGCUUGUUGGUGGGGUGACGGCCUACCAAGGCGACGACGGGUAGCCGGCCUGAGAGGGUGUCCGGCCACACUGGGACUGAGAUACGGCCCAGACUCCUACGGGAGGCAGCAGUGGGGAAUAUUGCACAAUGGGCGCAAGCCUGAUGCAGCGACGCCGCGUGGGGGAUGACGGCCUUCGGGUUGUAAACCUCUUUCAGCAGGGACGAAGCGCAAGUGACGGUACCUGCAGAAGAAGCACCGGCCAACUACGUGCCAGCAG
rnacentral:rRNA from 1 species